GACGAACGCUGGCGGCGUGCUUAACACAUGCAAGUCGAACGGAAAGGCCCUGCUUUUGUGGGGUGCUCGAGUGGCGAACGGGUGAGUAACACGUGAGUAACCUGCCCUUGACUUUGGGAUAACUUCAGGAAACUGGGGCUAAUACCGGAUAGGAGCUCCUGCUGCAUGGUGGGGGUUGGAAAGUUUCGGCGGUUGGGGAUGGACUCGCGGCUUAUCAGCUUGUUGGUGGGGUAGUGGCUUACCAAGGCUUUGACGGGUAGCCGGCCUGAGAGGGGGACCAGCCACAUUGGGACUGAGAUACGGCCCAGACUCCUACGGGAGGCAGCAGUGGGGAAUAUUGCACAAUGGGCGGAAGCCUGAUGCAGCAACGCCGCGUGCGGGAUGACGGCCUUCGGGUUGUAAACCGCUUUCGCCUGUGACGAAGCGUGAGUGACGGUAAUGGGUAAAGAAGCACCGGCUAACUACGUG
rnacentral:rRNA from 1 species